rnacentral:rRNA from 1 species
AUGGAGGCCUGCUGUAGCGUAGCCAGGAUAGUGAGCUUUGCACAUUUGGGCCUGAGAAUUUUGCCCAAGUUGCUGGCUCUUUCUCCCGAUUCACUGGGGAAAUUCAGAAAGGUCUCACCACCGAUGGAAACUGAAACUGUGGUGAGAAAAUUGCCGGAGCUGCCGCAGGAUGUAUUGAUGGAAAUAUUUUCACUCCUCGAGAUACCUGACCUCAUGCGUGCGGCCUCUGUCAGCACCUCCUGGCGCUCUGCGUAUACCAGCCUAUGCAACGACCUUGAGCUGUACAAACGGCCUCAGACGCCUUGCCUCCUCUACACCUCUGAAUCUGCUGGUGAGAACGUCGCUUGUCUCUACAGCCUCGCGGAGAAGAGGGUCUACAAUUUAACUCUCCCGGAUCCACCCAUCCGCAGUAGGUAUCUGAUUGGGUCCUCGCAUGGUUGGCUAGUUACCGCAGAUGACAAGUCUGAGCUCCACCUUAUCAAUCCGAUCACUGGUCAACAGAUUGCUCUCCCGCCGGUGAUCACCAUCGAUUAUGUAGAGCCAAUCUUUGACGAUGCAGGUACAAUUGUUAAGUAUGGAUUGCCCGAGCAAGUGUACUGUGCGGACUCAGGCUCCAAACUCGUUGAUCCCAAAAUGUUAACCUAUGCUCCCGACGAGCUUCGUGACCACCUCUAUGUCAGGGCAUUUAUCUUUCCGGAUCCGUCGGCAGGAAGCUACAUUGUGGUUCUCAUCCACGGUCCAGAAGGUGAGCUUUCGUUUGCAAGGAUAGGAGAUUGUAAGUGGACCUUGCUGCCCCCUGGUUGGGACUAUAAACAAUGCAUCUACAUGCAUGAUCUAUUGUAUGCAUUCACGGGAACUGGAAGAAUUGAUACUUUUGAUCUCACUGGCCCUACCGUCACGAGGAACAUAACUAUAGAUGAGAUUGACAAUUACAUUAGCUGGGACAUGUGGUAUGUUGUUCAGGCACCGUGUGACGGCCUGCUUCAAGUCCGCAGAAAGAUUGAACUAAUAGAUGCGGCUUCUGAGGACCUCAUAGCUAUUAAAACUAGAAAAAUCUUGUUAUACAAAGUUGAUAUGGCAGCAGAAGAGCUUGUGGAAAUAAAUGGCUUGCAACAUCACGUGUUGUUUCUUGGGCGUAAUCAGGCACAGUACCUUAAUGCUGAAGAAUAUCCGCAACUGAAGGAAAAUUGUGUCUAUUUCGCAGAUGAUGAGCAACAUAAUUGGAGGUAUAAGCCGAAUCCCCGGGACAUAGGUGUUCUCAACUUGGAUGAUGACAGUACGGAAGAAAUUGUAUUCCAGCUUUGGUGCAGCUGGCCCAGUCCCAUAUGGAUAACACCCAGUCUUACAGUGAUGAACUUGUCAUUGUACGAAUAG